CAGUCGCCGCGGUAAUACGAAGGGGGCUAGCGUUGUUCGGAAUUACUGGGCGUAAAGCGCACGUAGGCGGAUACUUAAGUCAGGGGUGAAAUCCCGGGGCUCAACCCCGGAACUGCCUUUGAUACUGGGUAUCUCGAGUCCGGAAGAGGUGAGUGGAAUUCCGAGUGUAGAGGUGAAAUUCGUAGAUAUUCGGAGGAACACCAGUGGCGAAGGCGGCUCACUGGUCCGGUACUGACGCUGAGGUGCGAAAGCGUGGGGAGCAAACAGGAUUAGAGACCCCUGUAGUCCCUGUCUCUUAUAC
rnacentral:rRNA from 1 species